rnacentral:tRNA from 1 species
UGGGACGUAGGCUAAUGGUAUGCCCCAGGUUUUUGGUACCUGUCAUUGUAGGUUCGAAUCCUACCGUCCCAA